ensembl:lncRNA
GAAGAAAGGCAUCAGCAACGUGCCAGCAUUUCUGAUCUUACCGACCGCAUACUCCUUCCCAGAAAGCCCUUCAUUUUCCAAGCACUUCUGCUCACCCUCUGGGUGACCAUCCAGCGUGUGAUGGCAAGCAAUGAGUGAUCUCCCAUCUUCAUCUCAACCCACCAGCUGUCUCAUUCACGGCAUUUUCAUAUUUUCUCCCCACACCUCACCGGUUAUGGGAAGUGUUUUAGGUUAAAAGUAUUCCUGCAUUCAGUGGCCUUUCAUGGACUUCUGCUUCUGGAUUGGUACCAAGCAUUUGAACUUUCCUUGGCCUUUUCAUCACUGGAUGAGGCAAGUUUGCAUUGGGGAUAUAUUUCACCAUACUUGUGAACAUUUGGGGAGAGAUUCAGUUAGCUCAGUGCUUCAGAAUCACAUACUUUUAUCUCUAACCCUAUUUUGGGUCAUUUUAAGAGCAAAAUUAGAGACGCUAAUGACACAUAAAGCCUGAGCUGUUGUGAUUUUCAUCACUCUCUAUGAUGGUCUAAGCUCCCUAGCAAGUACUUCGCAACACAUCGACCCUGAACACAUCAGCCCUCUACAUUUUGCCUUACUUCCCAUAUUCUCCUUUUUUUUACAUCGUCUUUCCCUUUGGCCCUGGGGAGAGCAAGGAUCGAUAAUACAAAUCCAAUAUCAAAAAAGUCUCCAGUGGAGCUAUAGGUGUGUUCUGCUCAUGUCAUGGCCCAAGUGGCAGCACGUGGGUCUCAGUGCUAGCACACUCCACGUUGUGCAUCAGGUGAUGUCAGUGCCCAGGCACUUGCACCCUGCUUUAAUAACUGUAUUAGUUGCAAGAAGUCUGUGAGACGUAAUGGUGUGUAGUAGCAUUCAUAUGUUUACUUUCAGUUGAUGGUUUCUUAAGGGUAGAUUAAAAUUAUUCUCAGAGUCAAGAAGAGUAUUUCUUUAUUCUUGAAUGGCCUAAGGAGAUACAGGAAUGUGAAAAUAAGACAGAUAUUACUUUUUCUUGAGCACUGGGCUCAUCUGGAAGACAGCAAAUAAGUCUGAAGACGGGAAGCUGCAUGACUCUGAAACUGCAUGGGUCUCCCAGAUGGUAUUUUGGCCAAUAACAUUACCAGUGUACUCAUCUUAUGAUAUGCAGCCAGGAACAUUUAGCAAUUUACAAGUUUAUUAUCCAGCCCCACAAAUCACUAAGGAGAGGCUUAUACUCCAGUAUACAGACACCCCACUUCUGCCAAGAUCUCAAGAACAGCAUUUUCAAGCAAGACUAUUUUUUAAUAAAAUAAAAAAGUGGC